AUGCUGCUCGAAGUGCUUGACCACGAUCCCGCCGCCCCGGCGCGGUCGUGCCCCCGCCGCUGCAUGUGCGGGCUUCGGGGGGAGGUGGCGAAAAGGGGAAGAGACCCGGCGUCGUCGCCGGGCCCCACCCUCUCCGUGUGGGCGGUUGGGGCCCCGGGUGCCCGGUUCCCCGCCUUCGGUCGUCAGGGUCCCGGCUUCCCAUGGGGGAGGAAAGGGUCGGUGAUUCCCUCGGCCGGAGCGGCGGGGCGGGAGCUUAAGGCGGCGGUGCCUCUCCUCCCCUUUGCCCCCUUCCUCCGCUCCGCCUCAGCCCGCGGUCGGGUGUCUUUUAGGUUCUCCGGGUCCGUGCUCGCCGACGCGGCCGAACCGCCUCGUCCCCACCGGUGGGGCGGGGUCGGCGGUGCCGAGGCCCCUGCCCCGGCGGCUCGAGAGGGGUCCCCUCGACGUGUGGGCCAGCGAGGGCCCCGGCGGUCAGGCGCCGGGGUCGGUCCCGCUCGCUCGAGUGAGCGUCUUCCCUCCGAGAUGGGGAAUUGGGGUUGGCGUGACCGGCCGGGUGUGCCUUGGUCGCUCGUCCCGACCGCCCCGAGGGGCUGGGGCGAAAACUCCCCCGCUCCUCUCCGCUGUGCGGUCCUAGCCCGCCGUUGGGGCGUGGGAGGCCUUUCCGCCCCCAUCCUGUCCCGGGUACCUAGCGCGUUCUGGCGCGGAGGUUUAAAGAUUCGGGGGUUGCCCUCCGCUCUCCAGCGGGGUCGGUUCUGUUUUCCCCCCUUCCCCGUCCGCCCUCUUCCGACGGUCUCGGGCCCCUCCUCUUGCCGCGUGCCCCGUCCGCGGGUCUCGCGGCUAGAGGUCGGGGGUUUGGUGCCCCCGAGACGGGAAGGGCGGGUCUGGGUGGGGGGGUCUUGGGACGGCCGCCCCCUGGGUUUGCCGGACGGGCCAGUGGGAAGAGGAGAUGCCUGGCUCCGACUUCUCCCGUUCUCCGGUGUGGUGCUGGGUUCGGGUCCUGGUCGUGGGGGACCGCCCGCCCGCCCUCGGUGA
rnacentral:lncRNA from 1 species